AUGGGUGUCCGACUGCUGGUGAUUGCACCACUGGUUGAGUCCGGAGGGGAUGUCAAAAGGCCUGGGGAUUCCCUCCGCCUCACCUGCCGAGCCUCUGGAUUCACAUUCGGGAGCUAUGGAAUGCAUUGGGUGAGGCAGGCUCCUGGAAAAGGCUUGGAAUGGGUGGCAUAUAUAAGCUCAGGUUCAUCUACCAUUUAUUACUCGAAUGAAGUGAAGGGACGAUUUACCAUGUCCAGGGAUAAUUCAAAGAGCUUCUUGUAUCUGCAAAUGAACAACCUGAAAUCUGAGGACACGGCUGCGUAUUAUUGUGCGAGAGACACAGUGAGAGGAAGUGAAUCUGAAGGCAGGCAAAAACCUCCUUUUGAUCAUGAGACCUCCCCAUGCAAUUGA